rnacentral:rRNA from 2 species
UUCCGGUUGAUCCUGCCGGACCUGACUGCUAUCGGAUUGAUACUAAGCCAUGCGAGUCAUUGUAGCAAUACAAGGCAGACGGCUCAGUAACGCGUAGUCAACCUACCCUAUGGACGGGAAUAACCUCGGGAAACUGAGAAUAAUGCCCGAUAGAACAUUAUGCCUGGAAUGGUUUAUGUUCCAAAUGAUUUAUCGCCGUAGGAUGGGACUGCGGCCUAUCAGUUUGUUGGUGAGGUACUGGCCCACCAAGACUAUUACAGGUACGGGCUCUGAGAGGAGUGGCCCGGAGAUGGGUACUGAGACACGGACCCAGGCCCUAUGGGGCGCAGCAGGCGAGAAAACUUUGCAAUGUGCGAAAGCACGACAAGGUUAAUCCGAGUGGUUUCUGCUAAAGGAACCUUUUGACAGUCCUAGAAACACUGUUGAAUAAGGGGUGGGCAAGUUCUGGUGUCAGCCGCCGCGGUAAAACCAGCACCUCAAGUGGUCAGGAUGAUUAUUGGGCCUAAAGCAUCCGUAGCCGGCUCUGUAAGUUUUCGGUUAAAUCUAUACGCUCAACGUAUAGGCUGCCGGGAAUACUGCAGAGCUAGGGAGUGGGAGAGGUAGACGGUACUCGGUAGGAAGGGGUAAAAUCCUUUGAUCUAUUGAUGACCACCUGUGGCGAAGGCGGUCUACCAGAACACGUCCGACGGUGAGGGAUGAAAGCUGGGGGAGCAAACCGGAUUAGAUACCCGGGUAGUCCCAGCUGUAAACUAUGCAAACUCAGUGAUGCAUUGGCUUGUGGCCAAUGCAGUGCUGCAGGGAAGCCGUUAAGUUUGCCGCCUGGGAAGUACGUACGCAAGUAUGAAACUUAAAGGAAUUGGCGGGGGAGCACCACAAGGGGUGAAGCCUGCGGUUCAAUUGGAGUCAACGCCGGA